UGGCUCAUUGAAUUAUUCCACUACUGUAUCUGGCAGGAACAUAGUGACACUGUCUUUGUUUUUGUUUUCCUUUUGUUGUGAUACAAAUUGUUUAAGUCUCACUAUUCUUCCAAUAAUUGUACAGAUUCUAGACACCAGUGUCAUCUUUAAAACAGCUUUUCCGUCUUUGAUUUUUAAAGACUUUAUUAGAUAUUAAAUGUCACUCCUUCUGUAUUUUUUUUUUUUUUUUUUUUACAAGCAAAUGUUUCUUUUGAGCUUUCAGCUACUUUAGUUACUCAGUGAUCAAGAAAAAUAAGCAAAUGAAAAUUGGGAUUCACAAAUGAUCAUUCCCACUAACUGUUCCUAUUGCAAUUGUAAAAUCUGUUGCGAUCAAUACAAUCAAUAUAAUAUAAUAUAUCAUGAAUAUGCCAUUUAAUGAAUGCAACCUGAUGAUUUAUUCUGUGUUUGAUGGUUGCAGGAGGACUGCUGCUGACACGCUCUAUCAGCCAAGAACCGGCAGACACCGUUGUCCACUUCUUGGCUCAAGGGACUCGAGUGUUUGUGAACUACUAAAGAGUCUUCAGGAAAUACCUGGCUCUUCUUCUUCUCUGGAUUUACUGGCGGAUCACAAACAACCACCGGGUGCACGUCGCCACCUACGGCACAGGAGUGUGUAGCAGCCCCACAAGCAUUAGAGGCUGCCCUAGUCAUGGCUGAUUUGGUACUUUUUUUCUUCACAGUUCCUGUGGGACAUGCUGAGGGAUUUAUGAAAAGACAAAGACGAAGAAACCUGAAUUAGUCAUUUAUUCAUGGCUGCUGUUAGAACACAUCUGUGCUUUUAGGAUGCUACAUGUUACCUCUAAUGUACUUGGCAACACAGCUCCAGUGGUCAGCACAGCAGCUGCAGUGGUCCCUUCCACCAACUUGGUUCAUCUGGAUUAGAAGCAGAGGG
rnacentral:lncRNA from 15 species